UAAAAAUCAUGUGUAUUUUAAAACCAUGGUCUUCUAAAUUUCCUAUUUUCUUCUUUCUAAGUCUUUAGAGAUGAAUGAAUAGACCUCUAAAGAGUUUUCCUGGUGUAUGCUGUACAACUUGUCAUUUUUUAAUGAAUCAUGUUUGCAUCAAAAACCAUGAAAGCUUAUACCGAUACACUAAGUAAGAAGACAGUCUUGAAAGGAAUUAUGGUUGGUUACAGUGGUUAACAGGUAGUGCCCCUUGGUCAUUGGAAGAGCCCCGUUUGGCAUAACAUACCUGCUACGGUACUUUCGAUCAUCUUUCAGGUCAUACAUGUCCUCUUAUUUGGUGUAUUCAUCAGAAGUGAUAUUCAGCUCAAUUAUUCUGUCCUCAUUUUUUUUUCCAUGUAGCGUGUUAGUUGAUAAGCUUCAUGCCAAUCUUCUGUGUCCAUGUCUAUCUUUUCACCUGCUGGAACUCUUGAUAAGUUUGUUUCUUCUGUCAUUUUUGAUGACUCACAUCCUUUGCUGGCAGUACUGAUGACCCAAGGACAAUCUUGGGACCAUUCUGACGGAUCAUGUAUAUUUUCUUGAUAUUCAUGUGAUGCGUUCAUUAUUGCUUUGUUGUAAGGUGUCAAGAGUGUCGAAUUUGAGGGCCAUAAGUCCCAUGGUGCAUCAACAUAUGGUGGUGGCCAUAUCUCUAAUAGAAUCUGCCUGUUUAGUUGGCAUAAAUAUUUCUGUAGGUCUCUAUAUUGAGUAUCCAGCUUUCUAACAUCAUCAUGGUAGAUACGGUGAAUCCAUGAGGUAGGAAAUUAUCCUAAUUGUUUUUAUGCUCCAUGUUAUAGGAAAUAAUGUGGCUUACAGAAAAUAAUCACUACGCAUCAUCCACGAGUUCUCUGAGCUUCUUUAUUAAUCAUAUCCAGCCAUUAAUGUAGAGGAUAAAACCAUUGAAAAAUGGUGAAAAGGUUCUUUAAUUUUGGUUAGAUUAAUCCUCUUAUGGCCUUAUCAAGGAAAUACUAAAGGUCUUGUAAUACAAACUGAAUGGCUACAUGGAGUAUAUGGGUAAAAUACCAUAAUAACCAUUUUAGUUCAUCUGGGACUUUAGAAAAUUCGAAGUGAAGGGGAUGGAUAAAAGGAUAUUCAGGAUGUAGCCCAUGAGGUUUCAGGAUUAACCCUCUAUAAUUUCUGAAAAUAUCUAACUGGUAUUCAAAAAUCAUGUCUUUCAUUUUUUAAUGAAACUUGUUUUCUAUUACCAAUCUGUAUAUUUCAGGAGGAAACUCUGAGUUAAGGUUCGUAGGCACAUGAAAGAUUGAUUCAGAAGGUCAAAUGAGUAUUUUGAGAACCAUUAUGCCCAUCUGAGUAGCUGUGGAUGUGGAAUUACUGCUUGAACUUCAACAUUUGUGGGAAGGUUCAACCAAAAAGUGAUGGCUAAUUAAAUGAAACUCAAAUUUAGAUA